GGGCAAGUCACUUAACCCUGUUUGCCUCAGUUUCCUCAUCUGUAAAAUGAGCUGGAGAAGGAUACAGCAAACUACUCCAUUAUCUUUGCCAAGAAAAUCCCAAAUGGGUUCACAAAGAGUCGGAUCCAACUAAAUAAUAACAUGAUCCUAGAGUGUCCAAAAAGACAACAGUCACAAAACGGAAUAGAUCUUCUAGUGUUUUAAAAAUGAAGCUUCAUGACUGAAAAUGACUGAACAUCAACAAAAUUGGGUUGUUUGGGUUCUCUGCAGAGGGUGACUCAGGACCAUGUAAGCCUGUGGGAGCCAGGAAAAGCACGGUACAGACUCCAGCCCUAUGUCUCCAGACUGAGUCCGAAGGAGACAUGCUGCCCAUGCUACCCAUCCAUCCUAGGGUAUCAGCACUUGGUCGAGGCAGGGUGCACAGGCCACAGCAAUGAUCAAGAAAGCAUCUGAGGCCUAAGCUUCAGGGAGGCAGCUUACAUUGAACCUCAGCUCUCUGCCACCCUUGGACACUAGCUUCAUUUCAGCUUCCUAAUCUCUAGAAGAUGCCCUCUGUUGUGACUCUGCACGCAAACGCAUCUCAGCAUCCACAGAUACAGCCUCCUAACUGACCUAAUAUUUUUUAGAUUUCACAUGUGCUCUCAAUCCAGCAUCAAACUUAGCUGGACAGAUACUUCCAACUCAAGAGUAAAAUACAAGGAAAAUAUGAUGAUGUCCAACUUCUGGGAUGAAAAUAACACAUAUGAAGUGAAGGUUAGUAUGAGCCUAACAUCACCUAAUAUGAAGCAAGAAAGUAUGACAAAGACUGAGCUACAGUGAGAACCUCUAUCAAAACUUUUAAAAGCAAAGCAUGGUCUUAGCUGCAGAAUGGUGAGUUAAUGGAUCUAGAUCCACAAUUGCUAAGAGAAAACUCAGGAGUCCAGAGUUAAAUCUGGUACUUUAAAAAGUCAAUCCAAACUCAGGGGUGUGAAAAUCCCCACCUGCAAUAUCUUUCUGAAAGACACUUUCCUAACUUCACUGGAGGGGCUCUCGAGGGUAGAGGAUCAAACACUCAAGUGCCCAUUAGAUUUGUAGUAGGUGGCCUGCAAAACUCCCAAUAGAAUAAAAUAUAAUUGGGAAAUGUUUAACA
rnacentral:lncRNA from 1 species